rnacentral:rRNA from 1 species
CGUUGUUGCAGUUAAAAAGCUCGUAGUUGAAUUGAAGUGAACUUGGAUUGAUGUGAUCUUCGGAUGACGUGAAUCAAAGUUGACUCUUUCCAAAGUCAAUACAUUGGUAUUCAUUUAUCUUUGUAUUGUGUUUGGUCAUUUACUGUGAGAAAAUUAGAGUGUUCAAAGCAGACGUUUGUUUGAAUACAUUAGCAUGGAAUAAUCAUAUAAGGCUUUCAUGUUGAUUUGAUUGGUUUGAAUAUGGAAGCAAGAUUAAAAGGGACAGUUGGGGGUAUUCAUAUUCAAUAGUCAGAGGUGAAAUUCUGGGAUUUAUGGAAGAUGAACAAGUGCGAAAGCAUUUACCAAGGAUGUUUUCAUUAAUCA